rnacentral:rRNA from 1 species
GAUGAACGCUGGCGGCGUGCCUAAUACAUGCAAGUCGAACGCUUCACUUCGGUGAAGAGUGGCGAACGGGUGAGUAAUACAUAAGUAACCUGGCAUCUACAGGGGGAUAACUGAUGGAAACGUCAGCUAAGACCGCAUAGGUGUAGAGAUCGCAUGAACUCUAUAUGAAAAGUGCUACGGGACUGGUAGAUGAUGGACUUAUGGCGCAUUAGCUGGUUGGUAGGGUAAUGGCCUACCAAGGCAACGAUGCGUAGCCGACCUGAGAGGGUGAUCGGCCACACUGGGACUGAGACACGGCCCAGACUCCUACGGGAGACAGCAGUUAGGAAUAUUCGUCAAUGGGGGAAACCCUGAACGAGCAAUGCCGCGUGAAGGAUGACGGUCCUUUGGAUUGUAAACUUCUGUUGUUAGGGAAGAACAAACUGUAUAGGAAAUGAUACAGUUCUGACGGUACCUUUCAAGAAAGCUCCGGCUAACUACGUGCCAGCCGCCGCCGUAA